rnacentral:snRNA from 1 species
GUUCUUAUCGAAUUAACCUUCGAUAGAGAUUCGAAUGAGUCUCGUUGAGUUUAUUUCAUUUUUGGGACCGGAUGGGGUCGCGGGCUUGCUCGCACCCCAUCGUGGGUCGGCCCAGCGUUGCACUGCUGUUGGGAUCGGCCCACCUCCU